ACCCGAAGCCGGUGGCCCAACCCCUUGUGGGAGGGAAUCGUCGAAGGUGGGACUGGCGAUUGGGACGAAGUCGUAACAAGGUAGCCGUACCGGAAGGUGCGGCUGGAUCACCUCCUUUCUAAGGAGCA
rnacentral:rRNA from 1 species